UGGGGAAUAUUGUACAAUGGGCGAAAGCCUGAUCCAGCCAUGCCGCGUGUGUGAAGAAGGUCUUCGGAUUGUAAAGCACUUUAAGUUGGGAGGAAGGGCAGUAAGCGAAUACCUUGCUGUUUUGACGUUACCGACAGAAUAAGCACCGUCUAACUCUGUGCCAGCAGCCGCGGUAAUACAGAGGGUGCAAGCGUUAAUCGGAAUUACUGGGCGUAAAGCGCGCGUAGGUGGCUCGUUAAGUUGAAUGUGAAAGCCCCGGGCUCAACCUGGGAACUGCAUCCAAAGCUGGCGAGCUAGAGUAGGGCAGAGGGUGGUGGAAUUACCUGUGUAGCGGUGAGAUGCGUAGAUAUAGGAAGGAACACCAGUGGCGGAGGCGACCACCUGGGCUUAUACUGACACUGAGGUGCGAAAGCGUGGGGAGCAAACAGG
rnacentral:rRNA from 1 species